CAGUGUAAACAGCCCUUUAAACCGAUAUAAAGGGCCUCGCUGUGUGGAUGAGUGCAGCGUUAAAUCUGUUUAACGCUGCUAAAAUCGGUAUAAACGCGUAGUGUAGACCAGGC